rnacentral:lncRNA from 1 species
GUGAGAUAAAGGGUGUAAAAUGACAAGAAAGGUUGAGGGCGUGUUUCUGGUUUGUUCUCAGGGAGCAUGGGGCUGAUGGCUUGCUGCGUGGGGCACAGAGAGGUGACACGGGGCUCUCCCUAUAUUGCUGGGCUGCAAGAGGGCCCAUUGAUCACUGGGCAGCGUCCGACCCAGUUAAUAGCGCAGAAAAUGAUGAUGUACUUGGGCCAGGAAAGAAGGACUUUCUGGAUUUUUCUGGGCACGGCCACUGUCAGUGUUUCUGAGAAGAAGGAUCCGGCAUGUGGUUCAUCUCACCUUGGCGUUUGCCAUAAAGGAGUCAGGGAAAACAAAAGGCCUCACAAGACAGUCACGUGGCCGUGGUUCAUCCCAUGACAGGCCCAAGUUUGAGGGGAGAGGGGCCCUGGAAGCCUGGACUGGUCCUAGAUCAACUUUGGUCCUUGGGCCUUAGGGAGCAAACGUCAUUAAUCCAUUAACCCAGUUUUCAGCUGGCAAACCCUCUCUCCACUCUCAGUCUCUGUGCUUUGGAUGAAACUAACUUUAUCGCUGUCUCCAGGGAAUCGGUGUGGUAUUGAAGCCUGGCCAAUCAGAGCAUCACAUUCUUCAACCCAGUGAUAGGUUCAGAAAUGGGCGUGUGACCCUAUCAGAGCCAAAGAGUAAUGACAACAAAAGCCUGGAGCUACAAGGCGCCAUCACAUAGAACCUGAGAAUGAAGCAAUAACUGCAGAAAGGGGAACCAAUAGAUGGAGAGAAUCUGAGUCCUGAGGUCAUUGGCUGAGAUGCUGAUCAAGCUGAACCUGAAGCCGGUGCUUCCCCUGGACUUUCAGGGAGUCUCUACCACCUGGACUGAAGACUGACUUGGAUCUCGGGGCCAACAGAACUUUGUUCCAAGUUCCAAGGCCAUCGUUGGAAUCAGUCCCUGCACAUAUGGAAGCGCACAGGGGCACGGUUUGGGAUUAUUGGGAGAAUGCAUGAGUCAAUGGCUACGGAAAAUGCUGCACACCUACUCUGUGAAGAGGGAAGCGCCAAGAACAACUGCCACUUUCAUUUGGGGUCAGGAUUCUUGAUUCCUGCUGUCUGUUGACGUCUAUAAUCUUGGUGUUAUGCUUACAAGGGAGAGCCUCAAGCAGUAUUAAGUAUAUUAUUUUAAGAAUGAUGUGGCUUCUGGCAUCAUAUUUUGAAAAUCAAAGAUUGUAAUUUUAGGGAUAAUGGAAUACUCAAAAGGGAGUAUUCUGUAAAACUGAGGGCGUAUGGUCAGCAGAGAGAUAUUCUUUACAAAUACUGGACUACGAAUUAGGAGACGACCUCAAGUCCCUCCUCCGUCAGUGAUCUUGAGCCAUUGUGGCAACACAUUCUGGGCCUUGUUCCCCCCCCAUCUGUAAAAUGGGGGUGUUUGACUCAUUGUUUCUUAACUGGGGUGAAUUCUGGAGUCACCUGGGAAGAUCCCCAAAGGCAGAAUUCUGGUUUUGUUUCUUGUUGUGUUUCUAAGGCAUAGAAAAGUACUUGGCACAGGGUAAAUACUCAAUAAAUAUUUUUUUAAUGAAGAAAUAAAACUUUUAAAAAAUUCACAGAGCAGGAUCCAGUCCAGAAUGCUCACAUCGUAUGGGCUAGAAACUGUACAUACAUUUUGUAAAAGCCCUCUGGAUCAUUUUGCCAAGCACUCUGGGCUUAAGAACCACUAAACCCAACAAUCCCCAAGGUUCCUUCCCUGAAGAAUUGUCAGAUUUAGCAAAGAAAAAUGUAAGACAUCCAGUUAAAUUUGAAUUUCAGAUAAACAAUGAAAAUGUUUUAGUGUAAAUAUGUACCAUGCUCUAUUUGGUUGUCGCAAAACUUGUAGAAAGAUGACUAGGUAAGGCUUCUGCUUAGGCUGAUGGUUAGAGGCAGAGGGUGGCACCUUGAAACUGGCCCAGAUUUGGGAAUCAGACAGAUAAUCUUGGUCUGAGUCUCUGCCCUGAUUGUGUGAUCUGAACAAAUUGCUCAACUUCACUGGGCUUCGUAACUCGAGUGUCUAUCCUGUAGAGCUGCUGAAAGUAUUGGAGAUAUUACAGGAAUGAUGGUAGCAGGUAUCUGAUAACGUUUAGCUGUUUUUACUGUUGGUUUGAAGAAAGAAACUCAGUAUCAAUGAGACCUUUGUUGAAACACUGUCAACUAGCAAACUGGCAUUCUGAAAUGACCAAGAUUAUAGAUAAUAGUUCUGGGCAGACCUGGGCAAAGUUAGAGGGAACGCUGAUCUUCUUUAGAACAAUACCUCUAUGUGUGGGGGAACAAAACAUACUAAAAAUUAAUAGAUUAUCCAGAAUAAAUAAAGGAAGGAAGUUCUUUCGUUUCAUUCAUUAUAAAAUGUCAUUUGCUCAACUGACUUUUUCUAAUGUCAAAGGUAAACAUUUGUUCAGGUUUUACAGGGUCACUAUACAGAGGGAUAGACUAUUAUU